rnacentral:rRNA from 1 species
CGCGAAGAACCUUACCAGGGCUUGACAUAUAGCUGGUAGUGAAUCGAAAGAGGAACGACCCUUCGGGGAGGCUAUACAGGUGCUGCAUGGCUGUUGUCAGCUCGUGCCGUGAGGUGUUCGGUUAAGUCCGAUAACGAGCGCAACCCUCAUCGUUAGUUACAAGUGUCUAGCGAGACUGCCGGUGAUAAGCCGGAGGAAGGUGGGGAGGACGUCAAGUCAGCAUGGCCUUUAUGUUGUGGGGUACACACACGCUACAAUGGCCGGUACAAUGGGUAGCCAAGCCGCGAGGUGGAGCCAAUCCUUCAAAACCGGUUUCAGUUUGGAUUGCAGGUUGCAACUCGCCUGCAUGAAGUCGGAGUUGCUAGUAAACGCGCGUCAGCAACAGUGCGUUGAAUACGUUCCCGGGUCUUGUACACACGC